rnacentral:misc_RNA from 1 species
AUGGGUGCUUUGCUUCCAAUU